GGGCCUGUAGCUUAGUCUGGAUAUAGCGGCCGGCUUCGGACCGGCAGGUCAGGGGUUCGAAUCCUCUCAGGCUCA
rnacentral:tRNA from 1 species